GCCCUCGUAGCUUAAUGGAUAGAGUAAUGGUCUUCGGAACCAUGGAUGGGGGUUCGAUUCCCUCCGGGGGCA
rnacentral:tRNA from 1 species